CCCAGUAAACGGCGGCCGUAACUAUAACGGUCCUAAGGUAGCGAAAUUCCUUGUCGGGUAAGUUCCGACCCGCACGAAAGGCGUAACGAUUUGGGCACUGUCUCAACGAGAGACUCGGUGAAAUCAUAGUACCUGUGAAGAUGCAGGUUACCCGCGACAGGACGGAAAGACCCCGUGGAGCUUUACUGUAGCCUGAUAUUGAAAUUCGGCACAGCUUGUACAGGAUAGGUAGGAGCCU
rnacentral:rRNA from 1 species